rnacentral:pre_miRNA from 14 species
CAUUCGAGUCUCUGGGGGUCACGCUCCAAUCCCGGAAGAGCCCCCAUGUGAAAGAACAAAUGAAAGAACCCCAAAUUGGGGAGACUCUCACUCCAGUCUCGGGAUGGUGGCAUGCCCCAGGAAACUCGAGAAGCC